rnacentral:rRNA from 1 species
UACGGAGGGUGCAAGCGUUAAUCGGAAUUACUGGGCGUAAAGCGCGCGUAGGCGGCCAUUUAAGCUAGAUGUGAAAGCCCCGGGCUUAACCUGGGAAUUGCAUUUAGAACUGGAUGGCUAGAGUAUGGGAGAGGAGUGUGGAAUUUCAGGUGUAGCGGUGAAAUGCGUAGAGAUCUGAAGGAACAUCAGUGGCGAAGGCGACACUCUGGCCCAAUACUGACGCUGAGGUGCGAAAGCGUGGGGAUCAAACAGG